UACGUAGGGACCAAGCGUUGUUCGGAUUUACUGGGCGUAAAGGGCGCGUAGGCGGCCACCGCAAGUCACUUGUGAAAUCUCCGGGCUUAACCCGGAAAGGUCAACUGAUACUGCGGGGCUAGAGUGCAGAAGGGGCAACUGGAAUUCUCGGUGUAGCGGUGAAAUGCGUAGAUAUCGAGAGGAACACCUGCGGCGAAGGCGGGUUGCUGGGCUGACACUGACGCUGAUGUGCGAAAGCUAGGGGAGCGAACGGG
rnacentral:rRNA from 1 species